rnacentral:misc_RNA from 1 species
GAACCAGUCAAAAUGGUUUGCAAACGUUUAGCGAAAAAUGGCUGUCUGAACUCAGUCCUUGUUUUGCAAGAGUAGAAGAUUACGCUUCGAAACUUUGCAAGAUGGUGGAUGUGGAGCCUCAAGAUGUUGAGAAAAAAAUUAAAGAUUACAGUAAGAGGUCAUGUACAGACAUCAUUUGUCUUGUCUUGUUCCUUAUCGUUGUGAUAGCAAUGGCAGGCUGUUCCAUUAUAGGCUAUGUACAUGGGAACCCUUACAAAUAUCUUCACCCUACAGACUCUGAAGGAAAUAUAUGUGGUCACGGGAAAUUCUCUGAUAGGCCAUAUCUGAUGUAUUUUGACCUUAUUCAAUGUGGUAUGAUGGGUUUGAAGAUUAUUAAAACAGGCUGUCCAACACCACAGGUUUGUGUGAAAGAAUGUGUCAGUACAAAUUACGUUUUUACAGAAACUAUAGCAUAUGAGCUCAGUGCUAGGCGUAGGCUUGUACAGCACAGGAAGAAAAUGGUGUGUAAAUAUCAUAUCAACCCUGUAACAACAAAAAUUGGUAUUAGGCAACUGGUUUUGAAAGAAAAAUGUGCUGCCUACUAUGUGAAGUCAACUCCAGUGGUCGGCAGAUGUAUUCCAUCCAUUUUACUCGAUGUCACUGGUACCAUUAAAAAACUUGUUACAGACGGAAAGGUUGCCAUUACUCGGGCAGAUGGCACAGAAGUAACCUUGGUUGAUCUUGACAAGAGCAGUGGGUUUUUGGCCAAAUACUUCAGCUACAUUCAAAGUGGAUUUGUAGUUUUUAAAGAUCUUGUGCAAUCAUGGAGGUUUCUGGUUGUAGGUACUGUUAUGACAGUGUUACUGGCAAUGAUCUGGAUGGUGCUCAUGCGAUGGCUUUCUGGAGUCAUAAUCUGGUUCAGCAUCCUUGGUGUGUUUGUAGCUGGUGGUGUUGGUACAUAUUAUUCAUUUACAAAGUACAUGAAACUAAAGGAUGUGGAUGUUACUGUAGCCCAUGGAAUAUCGGAGAGUUUCUCUAGUAACUGGGAUUUUGUUAUAUCAUCAAAGGACACUUGGCUAGCAUUUGGCAUUAUUUUGAUCUUGAUAAUGGUUAUCUUGUUGCUGAUUCUAUUGUGUACAUGCUCUAAGAUUCGGAUGGCAAUUGCACUCAUCAAAGAAUGCAGCAGAGCUAUGGGGCACAUGUUCUCUGUAUUGUUCUGGCCAUUGAUUCCAUUUGCAAUGUUGAUAGCAUUUUGUGCUUACUGGCUUGCAAGUAUGGUCUUUAUUAGUUCAAUGAGCAGAUCUGAGUUCUACAGUACCACCAACAAAACAAACGACGGUGUCAACUAUAUGUUGGACAGAAUACCAUGCAAACCAAAUGACCUCUCUGAAGAAAAUAAUAUUUGUGAAUUUGUUAAAUAUGGAGGAACAGAGUAUGUGACGUACAUGCAAGUGUUCAUGUGUGUCAUGUUGUUCUGGAUCAUCAACUUUAUUAUUGCUCUGAAUGAAGUGGUUGUGUCAGGGUCUUUUUCCUCCUACUACUGGGCAUUUCACAAGCCUAAAGAUAUACCAAACUUUCCUGUUGCAGCAUCCUGUUGGCGUGCAUUUCGGUACCAUGUGGGAUCAAUUGCAUUUGGCUCAUUGAUUAUUACAAUUGUUCAGGUCAUUCGAGUUAUUCUCGAAACAAUUGAAAAUAGAGUGAAGGGUGCAGAAAAUGCAGCUGCAAAAUUUGUUUUGAAAUGUUUCACAUGGUGUUUUUGGUGCUUAGAGAAAUUUCUGAAGCAAUUGUCCAGUACUGCAUAUGUUAUGUUCUAUUGUGGUGGAAAGCACAUCCAGCUUCAUGAUCUUUAUAUGCAAAUUUUUACUGACUGUUACUGUGUUGUUUGACGAUUACUUCAUUCAUUAUAGUAUCCAUUUUCUUGAACAUAUAUAACAUGGGAGUGAGCACGCUCUUUUUGUGUUUCUUGAGGGAUCAGGAGAUAAAUGAUGGAAGUGAAGCUAAACCAU